ACCGUCCCCUCUGCACGUGGCUUCACCGGCGGCCGGCUUGACCGGGAGUGGCCUGGGCGAGCUCCAGGGGCGUCCCGCAGCCCCGUAACAGCAGGGGCCCGGGCAGAGAGCUGCCGGCGGCGCCCACAUGGAGGAGUCCGCUUUCCUGGAGAUCAGGCGGAGGAUGCAGAGCGGGCUGCUGAUUAUCCGUGAGCCAAAUGCAGGAAAUUUGCCAGUGGAUAUUACAGUGGCUCCAGGAUCAUUAGAGAUAAAAAGUUGUCAAGCCUGCAAGAUGAUCAACUUUCCUGCAGAGGUCAGGAUUGUUCCUUCUUCCUGUCGAGGACUACAGUAUAUAGCUGGAGAUGGUUUACAUGUGAGGCUGCAAGUUCAAGCAGAUUCAAAUACAAAAUUAAUUUCAACUUUGAGUGAAAGUCUGAAAGCGCAGAAGAGUUGCAUCUUUUACUGUCAAUCUUGUGGUGAAAUCAUAAUAAAAGAACGGAUGUUUCUCAGAGUUCUUCCCCUACCAAGUGAAAACUGGAGUGCUUUGGUUGAGGAGUGGUGUUGCCACCCCAAUCCCUUUGCCAACAGCACUCUUCAUCCUCAGAAUAACGACUGUUUUCUUGGACACACUUACUUUCUGGUGAAUUCAGGAAAUGAGUCACAUGGGCCUGGAACUGAAACAGUCCAUUCAAAGACUGAACAUUCUGCUUCUGAGAGGGGCUCUAUGUGGAAAUCAAAGGAAAAUGCUAGAGUAAUUUGUAAGCGCUGCAAGGCAAUGCUGGGAGAGACCGUAUCAUCAGGGACUACAAAAUAUUACAUCACUGAGAUGAUUAUUCAGCCAUCUGGAAAACAUUUUGACAUGAUACCAAGGUCUCAGUUUGUACAGAGCAUUAUAGCUCAGUGUCUCGUGGAUCUGUCCUCUGCCAGAAGCACAUUUAGAUUCAGAAUACAAGGACAUGAUGGAAAAGUCUACAUCUUGAUGUGGCUUUUAAAUUCUGACACUUUAUUGGUGGAAUCUAUGGGAAAUUCAGCAUCCAGCAGUGUUUUUACAUUUUUUGAAGAUAAUUUGAGGCCUGAUUCCAGGUCUUCAGGCACAUGGAAUGCAGUUAAAGUUCUUUAUCAUCCCUGCAUUAAAAACAGGAAUAAGGACCUUGCCGAUGCAUGGGAAAAUGAUAUUGGAGUUCAUCCUCUAACAUUUCCAUCAAAAACCUGUUUGGAAUUGCUGUUGAUAUUGAGUUUGAGUAAUGCUUGUCUGCCACCUUCACUACGCUGCAUGAACUCCUUCCAGGAGCUGGCAGUUCUUUGCUUUACUAUCUGGCUGAACUUCUCUUCAUAUAUUAUUUGAAAAAUUGGAAGUGCCCAUAGCUAGCACCCAUUUGACCCGUCAUCUACUUUCUUAUUGAACUGUUCAUCUGUUACUUCUGAGCAUAAAAGCUGGUCAGAUAUGUUGGUUGCCUUUUUGAAGAUGUGAAGAAUCCAGACAUGCUAACUGAAAAUUAUUCUCAAGUUAACCUUCAAAUAAAAUACAGAAAUAUAAGGAUCGUUUUCAUUAGGGUGACUUUCCAGCAAAAGUCACUGAGGGUACAAAACCAGAAGAUAAUAUUUAAUUAUUAUUUUAGCUUUGAUAUUUGUUGGAUUUUUGAUUUUGAAAGAGCAAAGCCAAUGACAGAGAAAGUUGGUUCAGACCGGCAUACAUUACAAGACUGGAGUUCUGAGAGUGACUUAUGUCUGACUGCUGGGGUGACCUUAAUGAUGACCUCUUAAUCAUCAGGGGAGAAGAAAUCAAUUAUCUAGAUGGAGCAGUGGCUGAUAGUAACUUAUGUAUUUUAUGUGGAAAAUGAAGAACUGGCAGCCAGGAGAGGGUAUAAAAUAUUUAAUAUAGUGAAUUCCAACUAAGAAAUAUAUAUGCAACUUUUACCACUUUUCUCACUUUUUUGAGUUGGCAGAGGUAAUCAAACAACUAGAACUGUAAUAUGUAAACUGUUGUUUUCCAGCAACCUUAUGUAUGUAGAAUAUACAUUAUUUCCAUAUUAAAUCCUACUCCCUAAUCAAGAGAAAAAGUGGUAUUUACAUGCCUGCACCCUAUGUAAAACUGAAUUAAAUUGAUAAUGCAUUGGUUAAAGUUCACAAACAAAAAGUUUUAUGAUUACUUAAAAGAAAUGAUCUUGCAACUACAAAAAGAAGGGUGUCUGGAUAUAGGCCUCAUAGAAGUUGCUAAAUUGAGAAUCCUGGAGACAGAAAUCCUCUGUUUGCAAAGCACGUGCAUCUCAGGUUGUUACAACAUAAACUUCCCCACGCAGCCCUUUCUAGGCUUUGCUAGGUGCCUCAAUCCUGGCUUGGAGGGACCAUAUCUAUGGAGUAGUUCAGUCUUUAUGGCCCAUUCAGUACUUUCUCUUAUGAGACUGUCAACAAAAGUUGACAAGCGAGUUAGUGCUGAUUGGAGUUGGUGGUAGUUUCUGUGUUGUAGACACUUAUCUACUUGUAAUUGGACUGAUACCACCAAAUGCAUUCCAUGUGGAACAAAUAAUCUUGCACUGUUUCCAUUUUUGGAGUGGACCUCUCAUUCUUUAGUUGUCAGUAAUCACUUUGGUCUCCAUUGUGCAGAGAGAGUGUCAUAGCAGAUUUGUAUAUAUGUGUGGGCAGCGGAGGGAAAGAUGAGCUAUUCAUCUCUGCAUAAGCAUCACUACUACCAUAAUUCAGCAGCCACCCUGUAGUCUGCCUAAGAUAAGGAUAUGGCUGAACUGUAUGAGAAAAUUAAUAUUGCGGAUUCCUUUUGUAUUGUAUAUCUGAGCCCUGUAUUAACACACAUUCAGAACCCUGCCUAUUUUGUAACCUUAAUCUAUUUUCUUAUGUGUCCUCAAGAUUGGCACAGAAUACCAUUGGGGCCAAAAAUUUAGUAUGAUUCAAAAAUGGGUCAUGCAUUUAUAUGGAUAACUAGAUGAUCCAGAGUUAUACUAGUUUAUGCUACCAUACAUUUUGGUUAGAGUUAUUAAACACCAUGAUUCAGGUUUUAAACUAAUCUCUAAGUAUCAGGAUUACGAGGAGACCAAAUAUAGGAUGCAGAUUAGCCCACUUUUGUCUAUUCUGUUUUGUGCCUUCCUCUGAAGCAUCUGGUGCUGUCCACUUUUGGAGACAGAAUACUGGAUUAGCUGGACCCUGGGUCUGAUCCAGUCUUACUGUUCUUAUGUCCUGAAGUUGCCUGGGAGAAGCAUUUCUACUGAAAAUAGUGGAAGAAAUUCUGUUUGUACAGGCUGUUUUUUUUUUUUUCUUAAACAAUUAAGAAAUAAGAGAGACAAGAUGGGUGAGGUAAUAUCUUUUAUUGGGCCAACUUCUGUUGCUGAAAGAGACAGCUUUUGAGCUUACCUCACCCACCAUCUCUCUCUUUAAUAUCCUGGGACCAACACAGCAACAACUACAAUGCAAACAAUUAAGAAAUAAGAAAGCUGUGAGCUUGUCAAAGGACAACUCUUUAAGAGGAAUGGGUUUAGAGGGAGAGAUUCUUGUUACAAAGAGCUUCUUUUAAAACACUGAGAUUCCAGGAGAAGUCAGCACUUCCUUUACAUGUUUGCCAAUAAUAUUGUUCUAACACAUACUGCAAAAUGCUGAGCAUCUCCUGUGAGAUAUGGGAUAUCAGUGGGGGUUAAGACCACUCAACAAUUAGGUUAGGCCCCAUCCUACUUUUCCUCAUUUUAGAUUUGACUACUCAAAUAAAAGCAGAAGUGUGGAAUUUUUCACAUAUAUAUUCUGGGACUAUAUUGUGUACUUCCAUGACAAUUUGUCUGUAUUUUGAUUUUUCUCUUAUGAAUAAAAUUAAUUUUUCACUAA